rnacentral:rRNA from 1 species
AGGUAAUGGCUCACCAAGGCGACGACGGGUAGCCGGCCUGAGAGGGUGACCGGCCACACUGGGACUGAGACACGGCCCAGACUCCUACGGGAGGCAGCAGUGGGGAAUAUUGCACAAUGGGCGAAAGCCUGAUGCAGCGACGCCGCGUGAGGGAUGACGGCCUUCGGGUUGUAAACCUCUUUCAGUAGGGAACAAGGCCACAUUUUGUGUGGUUGAGGGUACUUGCAGAAGAAGCGCCGGCUAACUACGUGCCAGCAGCCGCGGUAAUACGUAGGGCGCAAGCGUUAUCCGGAAUUAUUGGGCGUAAAGAGCUCGUAGGCGGUUUGUCGCGUCUGCCGUGAAAGUCCGGGGCUCAACCCCGGAUCUGCGGUGGGUACGGGCAGACUAGAGUGAUGUAGGGGAGACUGGAAUUCCUGGUGUAGCGGUGAAAUGCGCAGAUAUCAGGAGGAACACCGAUGGCGAAGGCAGGUCUCUGGGCAUUAACUGACGCUGAGGAGCGAAAGCAUGGGGAGCGAACAGGAUUAGAUACCCUGGUAGUCCAUGCCGUAAACGUUGGGCACUAGGUGUGGGGGACAUUCCACGUUUUCCGCGCCGUAGCUAACGCAUUAAGUGCCCCGCCUG